rfam:Gossypium raimondii Chr03_contig_67, whole genome shotgun sequence.
UAUUAAAAAUUUUAUCUAUUUGUAUUGUUAAAAUCUGACGCGAUUGAUGGAAUAACUAAAUAGUAACACGUGAUAUGUCAUGUAUAUCUCUUAUUGAUGUACAAUAAUUGAUUUUUAAAGGUCAAAAUAAAUGAAAUUUUUAAAA